rnacentral:rRNA from 1 species
GAUGAACGCUGGCGGCGUGCUUAACACAUGCAAGUCGAGCGAGAAGUUUUGAAAAGAUUCUUCGGAUGAAAUUUAAAAUGGAAAGCGGCGGACGGGUGAGUAACGCGUAGGCAACCUGCCCCAUACAAAGGGAUAGCAUUUGGAAACGAAUAUUAAUACCUUAUGAAACUUAACUAGUGCAUGCUAGGUAGGUCAAAGAUUUAUCGGUAUGGGAUGGGCCUGCGUCUGUUUAGCUAGUUGGUGAGGUAACGGCUCACCAAGGCGACGAUCAGUAGCCGACCUGAGAGGGUGAACGGCCACAUGGGAACUGAGACACGGUCCAAACUCCUACGGGAGGCAGCAGUGGGGAAUAUUGCACAAUGGGGGAAACCCUGAUGCAGCAACGCCGCGUGAACGAUGAAGGCCUUUGGGUCGUAAAGUUCUGUUCUAGGUGAUGAAAACUGACAGUAACCUAGGAGAAAGCCCCGGCUAACUCCGUG